rnacentral:misc_RNA from 1 species
GCGGAGUGCUGUGGCCGCGGUGGUGAGGUGCUGGCGCGCCUCAUCCCGCUUCUCUGUUCGCCGGUAGAGAUUGCCGAGGCCGAGGUGGCAGUGGGCGAGAAGCGGGAGCAUCCCGAGCUCGUCGGCCAGCGCGGCAGCCUCGCAGUAGCGCGUCUCGGACUCAUCGGCAUCGGCCGGAUCGCGGCGCGAGGCGAUCUCGCCGAGGAGGUGUAGCGCCCGCGCCUCGUGUCCCCGUUCGGACCGCUCACGGGAGAGGGCGAGCGCCCGCGCGGCCGUGUCGAUCGCGUCACCCGAACGGGCGGCAGCGAGAUAGGCCUGCCCCAGAUGGAUCGUCGCGAGCACCUCCUCCCG